CAAGAAUUAUGGUCAUAGACUACAUAAUAUAGACUACAUGCUUUGAAACGCGUCGUCUAUUAUGUAAAUAGAUGACGUAUAGCUAAAGCGUGUUGUCUAUUUACUGCGCUCUUAGACAACGCGCGUCAAACGCGUCGUCUAUUAUAUUCAUACACUACGUAAUACUUCGCAUGUCGUCUAUAAUGUAAUAGACGACGUGGGUUAUGCAUGUUGUGUCUUUUAAUUUAAAAUCAGAGAGAAUUCCUCAUCUCUCUCUCAUUCCUCGGCUGAAACCCCCAAACACAUGUCUCUCUCUCUCCUUCUCAAAGGUACGCUGAGAGCUCCUCAUCUCUCUCGAUAUGUUUCCGGCGAGGAAUCCGGUGCCGCUGUCGUCGACCAUCUCGCUGAGCCUCCGUUUCUGUCCUCUCUCAAUUUGUUCCUCUUUCUCAAAUCCUCUGGAGAAGGCGAAGAUGAAAAGCCCCAAUUUUUCUCCUUCAUCUGAAUAUCGUGCCCUAGCUCUUCCUCUGCCCAAAUCGCCGCCGCCCUGUUGCAACUUCCGGCGGCAUCGCCGCCCUCCGCGGCUCUGAAACUUCGGCAAAGUCGACGCCGUGCACCGGAGUGUCUUUCUCUCUCAAUUCCCGUUCACAAUAGAGCUCGUCUGCUGGCGAAUGGAGCUCGCCCUUCUCUCUUUUCCCGUGGAUCUCCGCCGCGAAUAGCUCCGGCGAGGCCGGCUGUCGCCGCCUCUGAAAUUGGCGACGCCAGCAUCGUCCCCUGCUCCACAUCUCACAUCCUCACUCACGCGCACCCGACGAAGGCAAGGGUCGUGCCCAGUCUUCCCAUCACAAACCACCGCCCUAGUUUGACGCCGCCUCUUCUCCUGCCGAUUCGGCAGCCAUUCGCUGUUGUUUCCGAUUGUCUCAUCGACAAAGGUUGGUCCCAACUCUCGGAAUUAAAACGUAAGGAAGUAAGCUAUGAUUUUCGGUUCGGUGUAAUCAGUUCUCUUAUUCCUUUGAAUACAAAAUUCUCAGUAAUGCUCACACACAUAUAACACUGCAAAGCCUCUAUGCAUUUCUUGUUAUUAGAGCAAGGAAAAGUGUCGUAGAUUGGCUGUCGUAGCAGGUCAAAUUCAUGGUUCAAAUACACAAAAUAAACGCCUCCUUGUGAAGUAGGAUAUAGAAUUGGUAGAUUCUUAUAGAUUGCAAUUUUAUCUAAUCCUUCAAAUACAUAAUCACUUCUCCAUGAGAAUGGGAGGAAAGGUAGAUAUGCCCUGCAAUUUUAUCUACUAAAUUCCUACAACUGUGAUUUAUACCCACUCAUCUGCAAGAAUUAUCUACUCUUAUUUCAUGGCUUAAUUGGGUAGUUUAUACAUAUUAUCAAAAGAUUUGGUAGGAGUUAAGAGUUAGGUGUCAAGAUUGAUCAAUCAGUAUGGCUGCAGGAGGAAGAAAUGAUGCAGGGAAAUGAUUUAUUGCUGGUUUAAUUUUUAUUUUUUUGUGCAAGAAUUGUAUGUUUUGACCUUGUCUUGUUUUGAUGGGGGCUUUGGUUGAAUGAGAUUUUUGAUAUGUGAUUUGUAUUGGGAUAAGUUUGUUUUAUUGAAUUUUUAAUGGGAAGAAGAAUCUAGACAAAGCUAUUGCUUCCUCAAAUCAUAAAGGGACAGGUGAGGUGAUAUUAUUUUUAUGUUAUUUUCACUCUAAUUCAUGAUUAUAUUAUUAUGGAAUAUUGAUGAUGUGAUGAUAAUUUCUCAUAUUUUUCCACCAUGGAGAGUGUGUGAUAGAAAAAGGUUAGGAUCACUAAAAUGUGAUAAAUUUGCAAUAAAAGAGAACGCAUCUUUAUUGCUUUGGAGCCCAUUUCGUGGUAAGACGUCGUUGUUUCUUAUUGAACUGACUAGAUACUCUCUUAUAUAGGGAUGUAUAAUAGUAUAAAGUAUGAUCAUGUAAAAUGAAGAAAUUGAAAUUGUCAGACUAAAUUGCAUUGUGUGUUUGCAAAUGAAGGGAUUUUCUUGUUGAAAGUGCUAACAAAGCUGGAGUGGAAGGAGCAGAGGAGUUUCUUGCAAAUCCGAGCAAUGGGCUGAAGGAGGUAAAUUUUCCAGCUGCGGAAGAAUCCUCAUGUUAGUUCAUGCAUUUUCCAACUUGCUUUGGUUUUUUUUUUUUUUUAGUAUUUAAUGAGGAACUCAAGAAGUAUCAAUCCAAUAUUAAUGGAGUCCCUCAUUAUGUGGUAAGUCCUGCUUCAAAUUUGUAAUAACCUAAUAAUGCAUUUUAUUUUGCAGUUAAUGUUAAAUAACAUAAACAUAUUGUGACAGAUUAAUGGGAAGCACCAGCUGAGUGGAUAUAUUGCCUGAUUUCAUACCUGAUUUUGGAUCUAAACUUCGCUUGGUGUAUCCCUAUUCUUUGAAUGUUAUUUCACAUUUUUAUUUAUUUUCAACUGGUGCAGCUACCGGAUCAGGCUGCCUAUUGAAAAGGAGCAAGAGAUGAAGUUUUCAAAGGAUGUUAAGAAGAAGAGAUUUUAUGAGAAUAACUGAAGUAUUGAAUGUUUAUUAUUUUUUUUUACAAAUAUUCUUAGUGGCUUCAUGAACAAUGUUUGGAUGUAAUGUUGGUCGAACGAUGUUUGAAUGAAUUUAUGAUUUUUUACUAUUAAUAAAUGUAUUUUU
rnacentral:lncRNA from 1 species